CACUCCUGACCUAUGAACUCAUUUUCACCCUCAUCCCUCUUCAAAGUUGUCGUCCAACUCUUCUCCUCUAGUAGAAGGUGCUGUCGCCGCCGGCGAGGACAGUCGGUGGGUGCCUUCGUUAUCUGGGGAAGCUCUACUCGGCCCUCUUCGCAUCGUUCCUCCUCUCCUCGCCGUCGCACGAAGUUCUGAGUUGAGCUCGUGGCGUCGCCGUCGCGAAGGGUUCCUCCCCUCCUCGCCGUGCGUCGUUUCUGAUUCACUGCUCCUCGCCAUUUUUGGCUGUUGUCCCUUCUCUUCUCUGAUUUUAGAUUCCGUGACUGUUAAUUUCAGAUUCCGUAACUCGUGAGGAUGACACUGUUGAUGAUGAAGUCAUGGAAGUAGCUUUGGACAGGAAAUUGGAGCAACAAAUUUGCAAUGCCAUAGAUACUCGCUUCCUUCUACAAUUGACAAAUAUAUUAUUUAGAGAUAUUUCAUCUGUCAAAUAGUUCCUGGAGGAUACAUUUUGAUGCAGAAACAAAAUUUGGGAAAGGAUUCUUCCUCUCAAACAGGAAGUGUUAGCCAGAUUUAUGACGAGUUCUGCCCAAUCUUACUCAAUCAGUUUAAGUCAAGGGAUCGCACAAAAUUUGAGACAUUUGAUGCUUUCUUGGAUGAGUUCUACAGCAAAAUUGAGAGCCAAAGGUCUGAACAACAGCAGAAAGCUAAAGAAAACUCAGCUGCUCAGAAGCUGAAUAAAAUACGCCAGGAUCAGGAAAAUCGAGUGCACACAUUGAGGAAAGAAGCUGAUCACUGUGUUAAAAUGGCAGAAUUGAUAGAAUACAACUUAGAAGAUGUGGAUGCUGCUAUAUUAGCUGUUUGUGUAGCUCUUGCAAAGGGUAUGAACUGGGAUGACCUUUCACGUAUGAUGAAUGAUAAAAAGAAAACUGGAAACCCUCUUGCAUGAUUUUACUGUUGGCAAACAAUCUUGAUGAAAUGGAUGAUGAUGAGAAGACACUCCCUGUAGAUAAGGUUGAAGUUGAUUUAGCUCUCUCAGCUCAUGCCAAUGCUCGAAGGUGGUAUGAACUGAAGAAAAAGCAAGAGAGCAAACAGGAAAAGACUAUAACUGCGCAUGAAAAGGCGUUUAAAGCUGCAGAGAAAAAGACUCGCCUACAGCUUAAUCAGAGGAGAUUACAUUUUUGACCGAGGGUGAUAAUCCUAACGAUGAUGAUGUUGUAUUAAAGAAGCUUUUUCACCCUAAUCUCAAGCUAUUAAUUGUGACACAAAGGUUCAAAGGGUUGUAGAUAUUACACCAAGAAAUUCAAAGGCCGGGUGGCAGAUGUUAAAGUUAAUCCCAUUGAUACAACUGGGGCCGGUGAUGCAUUUGUUAGUGGGAUUCUCUACAGCAUUUGCUCAUAAUCAAAGUGGAGCUUGAUGCUGCCAAUGCAAUUUAGUUAUCCAUUAAUAUUUUAGAUUGUCCCAUUUUAAGUGUUAAGUGUAAUGUUAAUGAAAGAGAUCCAUGUAACAUUAGAAUGGUCAUCUUAUUUUUUGGGUAUCUUUUUAUUGAGAUAGUGAGAUAUUGGCCAAUGAUGUUGAAAAAUAACAUCCAAUUUUAUAGGUAUCAUGUA